rnacentral:rRNA from 1 species
GCCUGCAGCCUUACCACCUGUUUCUAUGAUCUUGUCUGAUCUCAUAUAAGGUGAUUGAUCCAAAUUUGGGCCUGGUUAGUUCUUGCAGGGAGACCGGUAGGGAAGAUCCAGGUGUUUCAGGAA